GGAGCCGGUGACGCUGAGUGCUGAGGUGAGCGGCUGUGUGUGCAGAGCGGGCAGGCAGGGGUGGGCGUCCUUGUAGCUCCUGACACGCAGCAUGUCCUUCACUGCUUCACAGCCCAAGUUCUCAUCUAAACCCCAGACCUGACCAUGCCCGGAUGCUUUCUGCUCUCGGGAACCAGAGGGCUGGCUGACGCUCACCAAGGAGGGCUGGCAUUGGGCAUGGUGCCCCUGCCAGACCCUGGGCCCUGCCUGCGCGUACAUACUUCCCUGUCACCCUCCCGGGUGCAGGUCACUGUUACCCAUGCCUGCAGCAUUUCGUUCACCCACCCAUCGUGUGGGUCUGGCAGCUGCAGAUCUAUGCUGUGCACACAGCUACUGGCCUGUUGUGUGGCCACAUCCCAGCCCCUCCUCCCACCACAUUCCCUUUCCCCGUCUCCACCCAGUACCCAUCUCAGGGCAGUGAUGCAGAAAAGGGCGUCACCUCAGCCCUUCCCACCAGCGGGAAGAGAAGCUCUCAUGGACCACACUCUGCACCCCGCUACUGAGGACAGCUGCAUUGGUGUGGAACAUCAUAGCAUGGAGAGAGCCCUGCACCCACACAUCCUGGCUGCCAGGAGAACCCUGGAGAUGGGUUUGAGAUACAGAAACGGCUGGUCACUGUGAUGCGUCACUGGUCACUAUGAUGCAUAUUGUAAGAACCAAUCCCCAACUGGCAAGCCAUUUUGCCUCUGUAUUUCCUGCUUGCUUAUUCUGUAUAAGCCCUAGACCACCAGAGAUCAGGGCCUGAUAUUGCGGGAAUGAUCCCAGACAGGGACUGUCUAUAUAAAUAAAUCUGCCUCCAAAUCCUG
rnacentral:lncRNA from 1 species